UGUUGUGUACAAACGUUUGCAGGGAUUACUACAGGUCUUUGCUGUUUUGCUUGCUUUCACAGGGUGGCAGUAUAUCUUCAUUGAGCCUGUGGUGUGUGGUGGUAGCUGACAUGAUGGUUUUAAUGUUUAGAGGUGGAGAAUGCACUACGACACCACCCACUUUAAAGAAGUUGUGUUUGUUUUCCUGAUAAGAGGGUUUAGUCAGUAAAGGAGGUGGAAAGUAUCUGCAUACCAGCAUAAAGUGUGACGAAAACACAAACUGGUGUUAAAUUUGGUCAGAACACAACAUGAUCCUUUUCUUCUGCAUCGCCUUUAAUGUUAUUCUGGUUUCAGGUUCCUCUCUCAGUGACCAAGUCUACCAGACUCCAGCUCACAUGUACAACAAAACAGGAGAAACCGCCAAAAUCAGCUGUUCACACAGUAUUGACAGCUACAAUCGAAUCCUCUGGUACAAGCAAUUCAACAAACAGCUACAGCUCUUGGGAUAUAUGGAUUUUAACAAAGGAAGUCCAGAACCUGGUGUGAAUGUGACGAUAGAAGGGAGUGCCAGUAAAGACCAGAUCUGCACAUUAAUAAUUGAAGGACUGAACCUGAGCAGCAGUGCAGUUUACUUCUGUGCUGCUAAAAGACAGAGGAGUUUCAAUGAGCCUGCUUACUUUGGCAGUGGCACCAGACUAACAGUCCUGGAAAAUGACCGUGAGGUAACACCACCAACAGUGAAAGUGCUUCCACCUUCGCCAAAAGAAUGUCGCAAGCAGAAAUACGAGCACAGGAGGAAGACCUUAGUUUGUGUGGCCACUGGAUUCUACCCAGACCAUGUCAGUGUAUUCUGGCAGAUCAAUGGGGUGAAUGUCAUCAAUGGUGUGGCGACGGACAACACUGCCCUGAAGGAAAGAGGCACUUACAGCAUCACCAGUAGGUUGAGGGUCUCUGCCAAUGAUUGGUACACACCUGACAGUCAUUUCACCUGCAUUGUCAGCUUCUUUGAUGGAAAAGAAACCAAAUCUUAUCGGGAUUCAAUUCUUGGUGAAAAAGCUAAAGAGGUGACAAUGACAAGAGGCAAAUAUUUGAAGAUCACAAAUAAUGCCAAACUCUCCUACGGUGUUUUCAUCGUCAAGAGCAGCGUCUAUGGAGCCUUUGUUGUGUUUCUGGUGUGGAAGCUUCAGGGAAAGCACAACUGAGAGCUGAGCUGCAGCCUGAACAAGUGAACUCUCAGAGAUCGAUUCUGUUAGUUUCUGUAAAUAAAGAUUGAGAACAUUGAACUUA